rnacentral:rRNA from 1 species
AUCGUAACACAGGUGCUGCAUGGCUGUCGUCAGCUCGUGUCGUGAGAUGUUGGGUUAAGUCCCGCAACGAGCGCAACCCUUGUCAUUAGUUGCUACGAAAGGGCACUCUAAUGGGACUGCCGGUGACAAACCGGAGGAAGGUGGGGAUGACGUCAAGUCCUCAUGGCCCUUAUGGGUGGGGCUACACACGUCAUACAAUGGUUGGUACAAAGGGUUGCCAACCCGCGAGGGGGAGCCAAUCCCAUAAAGCCAAUCGUAGUCCGGAUUGUUCUCUGCAACUCGACUGCAUGAAGUCGGAAUCGCUAGUAAUCGUGGAUCAGCAUGUCGCGGUGAAUACGUUCCCGG